GUGUGGGGAUUGGAGCGCGCCCGCAGUGUUGUUAGCCUUAGUUUUAAACCGGGUUUACUAGAUUUACACUGAGAUCGGACUGUCUGGAAAGCGCACUCCUCUUAAACCACAGAACGACCGGACUGAAGAGCAUCACCUGCGUCCCCACCUGCCUCAGGACCCUCAUCUCCACCUGCGUCCCCACCUGCCUCAGUGUCCUAUGAGGACAUCCAGCUCUGAAACACUGAGGACAUCCAGCUGAUCAGAGACCUGCUGCAGCGGGACCCCGAGAAACCACCAGCUGCCCGCCAGGGUUAAGCAGUGAAGGACCUGAGUGAGAGCAGCCUGUGGGAGGAGGGUAAUGAGACGAGCUGAAGUUCUUACUGUUCGCCGGUUGCCCCAGGGCUCCAUCCGCUGCCGAACCACAUGAUCAAGAUCAACCAAUCAGCACACAGAGAGGAGGAGCAGCGGCUAAAGCACUGAUCCAGAAGCAGCAGCUGAUCUGUAAAUACAGAUAAAACAGAUCCAGCUUCCACUGUACUGCAGUUUCCUGCCUGUUAAACCGCCUCCUUUCUGCUGGAUUUAUUGUAUUAAUUGUAUGUUUUAUAUGUAUUGUAGUGUUUUAGAUCUAUGUUGCAGUUUGUUGAAUGUUUGUACGUUAUGGUUUCUGUAUUUUAUGUAAUAUCUGUAUUGUGUUGUUUGUGAAGGAACGUAAUUUGAUUGGACGGUGUUCCUGAACUUUAAUUGAAGACGCAACGAAUUAAAGCCACUUUUUGACUUAAACCAACACAGAUACAGUUGUGAUGUCCAGACAUGCAAAUCCAAUCUAAUCAUUUCCAAAUAUCAGUGCAGACAUUUCUCUAAAGAUCUGAGUCCAGUUUCUCAAAAGCAUCUUCAUUUUAAAAUGUCAGAAAAUUGAAGAACAUAUAGAUAAUAAUCAUCCACCAAUUUAAAAUACUAAUAUCCAAAAAAAAGGAUGAGGCCUUAGAGCUGUGGUGGCUCAGUGGUAGAAUCAGCACCACCAAGAUCAGAAGGUUGAGGGUUCGAGUCCGGAGGAGAGUGAGCCUUUAAGAGUAUUUUUUGAGUAAAAUCGAAUGAUAAAUGCUAAAAAAAAAAGAAUGGUAAUUGGAAGAUCCUGUGUGGCUCAGUGGUAGAGCCCAGCCUCCCCGGUUAGGAGGUCGCCGGUUCGAAACCGGUCAGGAGAUCCACGUCACCGAACCUCAAACCUAAGAAAGGGGGGGGACGUUGGGGUGUGUCCCCCUCCGAACCCCGGAGAGAUAAAGAGUGGGGGUUAUAAACCCCAAAACCAGGAGAAACGCAGGGGUUAUGCUGAACUUUGCCAGUGCGCCGGCUGCGUUUU